rnacentral:rRNA from 1 species
AACGUAGGGGGCCAGCGUUGUUCGGAAUUACUGGGUGUAAAGGGCGCGUAGGCGGGAUGGCAAGUCGGUCGUGAAAUCUCUCGGCUCAACCGAGAAACGUCGGCCGAUACUGCCGUUCUUGAGGGAUGCAGAGGAGACUGGAAUUCCCGGUGUAGCGGUGAAAUGUGUAGAGAUCGGGAGGAACACCGGUGGCGAAGGCGGGUCUCUGGGCAUUUCCUGACGCUGAGGCGCGAAAGCGUGGGGAGCAAACGGG